GGAGGGUAUAGCUCAGUGGCAGAGUGUGUGCUUAGCAUGCACAAGGUCCUGGGUUCAAUCCCCAGUACCUCCA
rnacentral:tRNA from 1 species